rnacentral:lncRNA from 1 species
CAGUACAGGAAGGGAACAGACGUCACCCAGCAUUGCGCAGCACUCCUCUGUUGUAUAAUAUAUAAUACAUAAUAAUAUAUUAUAUUAUAUUAUAUAUAAUAAUUAUAUAAUAUAAUAUAUAAUAAUAUAUUAUAUAUUAUAAAAUAUAAAACAUAAGUGAAAUACUUUUAAAUGAAUGUUUACUUCAUAUUCUUUUAAAAAUUUUGAAAAUUUUAUUUUUAAUAGGCAUCCAAGAGAGAAGAAUAUUUUAUUUUCUUAACUUCAAUAUUAGAUGCAUUGAACAUUUUAUCCAGGAUUGAGAAAGAUUUUAGCUAUUUCACAUCCUCCCAAGAUAGUAGGAAGUUGUCUGCGCAUAUUUUUUUUUUCUCAAGGCUUCUCUGUACUCAGCCAUUAUUUAAUUAAACACCAGCCAUAUGCUGGGAUCUGCUGGUUCUCUGCUUGACGCAUUGCCAGCCUGGUGGCCUCAACUGCAAUUUGAAGUUGACAGGCGUACA